rnacentral:rRNA from 1 species
CCUACGGGAGGCAGCAGUGAGGAAUAUUGGUCAAUGGGCGGGAGCCUGAACCAGCCAAGCCGCGUGAAGGAAGAAGGCGCCAAGCGUCGUAAACUUCUUUUGUCGGGGAACAAAGGGCGCCACGUGUGGCGUUGUGAGUGUACCCGAAGAAAAAGCAUCGGCUAACUCCGUGCCAGCAGCCGCGGUAAUACGGGGGAUGCGAGCGUUAGCCGGAUUUAUGGGGUUUAAAGGGUGCGUAGGCGGUCCGGAAAGUCAGCGGUAAAAGCCCGGGGCUAAACCUCGGCGAGCCGUUGAAACUGUCGGACUAGAGACGGCGAGAAGUACGCGGAAUGCGCGGUGUAGCGGUGAAAUGCGUAGAUAUCGCGCAGAACUCCGAUUGCGAAGGCAGCGUACCGGCGCCGGACUGACGCUGAGGCGCGAAAGCGUGGGUAUCGAACAGGAUUAGAUACCCCGGUAGUC